UUUAUCCUACGGGAGGCAGCAGUCGAGAAUCAUUCACAAUGGGGGAAACCCUGAUGGUGCGACGCCGCGUGGGGGAAUGAAGGGCUUCGGAUUGUAAAUCCCUGUCAUGUGGGAGCAAAUUAAAAAGAUAGUACCACAAGAGGAAGAGACGGCUAACUCUGUGCCAGCAGCCGCGGUAAUACAGAGGUCUCAAGCGUUUUUCGGAAUCACUGGGCGUAAAGCGUGCGUAGGCUGUUUCGUAAGUCGUGUGUGAAAGGCUCGGGCUCAACCCGCGGGCGGCACAUGAUAC
rnacentral:rRNA from 1 species